CAAAUCAUACCAACAUGGCGGCGACAUCACGCUGUAAACGUUUUACAUUUCUAAAGCAUUAGACUUAAAGCUGCAAAUAAAAGAGAUGCCUGCAAGAUCUGUAAACUGCAACUUGCUUUUCUUUGCAGCAGGUCAGCGUUUGCAGAGGAAGCAUGGUGACAUUCAUCUUAAAGGCCCAAAACCAGAGUCCCACUGUCAGAAAGGAUGUGACGCCUGUCCCGUGGCUCUACCAGCCAGGCCCAUGUCUGUGAAUGCCUUAGCUGGACCACCACAAUAUAUCAGCACCUGUGGAAACAGUCUUCUGGCUUCAAAGCUCAUGAUGCUCUGUGAACACCGUUGUCCGAUGCCCUUCAGCCGAACCACCACACAGCCCCGCUCUCCUUCUCUCUGGAGCUGCCAGAGGGGAUAGCAUGACUUGUUUCAUAACCAGCAAUCCAUAAACAUGCAGGAGAUUAUACGGGCACAGACCAACAUCAGCUCGCCAUUCAACAAUAACCAACAAGCUCCCAGAGCUUCCCUCACUGACCCGUGUGAGUUUUUGUUCGUCAUCUGGCUGGGACAACGACAAACCAGCAGUCAUCUAAAUUCAUGCAAGCAUUGAUGCAAUAAGGCUUGCAAUGUCAGACUGUCAUACAUUUAGGUCCAGAUGGAAAUAUUUUAGCAUCUAUGAGAUAGAGUAUGAUCAAAUAUGAUACACACAUUCAUGAUCCCCAGAGGAUGAGGCAUACUGACCCUCAUGAUUCCCUCACUUAACCUCUGCUGAAAACAGUGGUUUAACAUUUUUAACUUUCGUGGAAUUUCUUUACAAUAAUGGUACAAAUUGCAUAAUUCUAGGUCUGGAUUUGGCCUGGUGGAACAGUAGGAUUUAUCUGGGUGAUGAGGAGAUUCAUUUAUCUUCAUUUAAAUCAGGUAAUCCAGCUAUUCGUCCUGUUUUUUUUGUAGAAAAAUAAAUUUGACUGACAUGAUCCAAAUACAAGGAUAAGAGAUGACCAAAUCUGGAUUACUCUUAAUGGGAUCAAAUAGGAUAUACUGUGUCCACAUGGGAUGCAAAAAUCUGCACAAACUGAAAGAUCCCAAUAAUUACUUUCAAUUAAAUUACAAUUAUUUGAUGUUAAAGGUAUUUAAUGUGUGAAAUCUUUUAUUCUUUAAAAACUCUAGGGUCACGUUUACCUACUGGGUCAUAUAACGAUUUAAGAGCAAAAUUUUGAGGGAGAAAAAAGUCUCUUGAGUCAAUACCAUUGCAAAAAAGUUGAUUUGUUUGUUAAACUAGAAAGUCUUUAAAGUUAGUUGAGUAAAUGUUAUCCUAAUCCUAUGCCAAAGUUUUGGACAUCCCAACUAUGGAUCACUUUAUUUUAUAAGAUUUUCAUACCUUUUAGCAAUGUUGAACUGCUUGAUUUCACGAUUAAUCCCAUCAAAUAGUUUUAAUCCAUUCAGAUGUCUGUUGACAGACUGGGCCCAGUGGAUAGCUCAGACUGACUUUGGUUGAUUUUAGGCCCACAAUAAAGAGAAAGAUUGAAGUCAAGUGAAUAAAAGAGGAGAUUUAGGUUUGGUUACAAAAAGCUAUUGGUUGAAAUGAAAGGAGUAUUGUUUAGAGCUCAAUUAGAGUCAAUUUAAUGGACAUUUCUUAUAAAAAAAAAAUCAACUGUCUGUGUUUGUGUAAGGACAUCGCACAUUUUCUUUUAUUGGAUUAUAUACAGAAAUGUGUGAUUUUAAGAACAACAUAUCAUUCCUACAUUUGGUAUGAGAAGACAAGGGAAAGAUUUUUAUGGACAAAAUCAGAAGAGAAGAAACUGCAACUGCAUGUUAAAUAUUUCUGUAACCAAUU